GAAAGAGAGGGACGAAUCAUGAGCCCUGGAGUGAAUGGAUCCUGUGUUUCUAUUUUGUAUACUUUGUUGAACUGUUUCUGAAUAAAUGCUGAAAUAAAGCCCGAAAAACAAACACACACACACACACACACUCCUCACUGCCCACUUAAAAAAAACAACAACAACUGGAAGGUCCUUUGUAACACGAUAAGGUCGUCAUAUAAGUGUAGAAGAUAGAGUAGGUACCAGAAACUAAAUUUUCAAAGUAGCUGUAUGCCAAAUGUAUCUGUUCCAUUUGAAAGGCCUAUAUCCACUGAGCAUUCUGGUACCAUUCUAUAACAUCUCACUCUCAGUCAAUUUUUAAGAAAACGGUUGUUGUUUAAAAUUUGAUCAAAUUUGUUAAAAUUUAAAGUCAGUGACUGGCUGCAAACCCAUGUUUGACAGACAAUAAAAGAUUACCAAGUGCGCUAAACAUCUCUACAUUAACAGAGUACAAUCCCUAUAACAAAUACAUGUACAUGUAUGGACCCUAAUUUUUUUCAAGACUGUGAGUAGGCAGUUCAGUGAACGAGAUUGGCUCGCUGCGAAAUCGGAUCCUCGCCGCCCGUAGAAAACUGUGAGCGGCGGAUUGCGUUGGCGAUUUGGUGAUUUUUGUUUCAUUAAAUAGUAAUAACCACUACUUCUGAUACAUGUUUUUGAAUAUUUUUAAAUCAUCUACAAAAUGGCGUCUUCCUUUGGCAGAUCGGACUCGUUGAGACAGAGGUGGUGUUUCUUUCGACCACUGUCUGUCAAGCUCCACACAUUCAGCAUUACAGCAAUCCCUUAUUUAUGAAGAAGAACCUUGGAGUCAGCUCAAAGUUUCAAAUUUAAGUGAGUGGAGAAAGGUUGAAUGUGUCUCAGAAGAAACCACUUCUUCUGUUAUCCGCAAACCAGAAGAAGCCUUUGAUUUCCGUAAUGGCAAAGUGUUUGAUAAAGAAAUGUGCAACAACAACAAUAGUGUUAAUGAUGGUUGUGGCCAGAAGCCAAAAGAUUGCUCUUCAGCUGUAAAGAUGAAAAUGGUGAAUUCCAGUAUGGAAAUAAAUCCUGUGUGUCAUAGUUCUUGCUCUCGGUCGUCUGGUGUUACAGCACCAAAGCUGCACGCACAGACUCACACCGGACAAGAUAGUGGCGCUCAUCGUGUUGGAUUCAAAUUUGUGAGUGGCAGAAUAAAACAAGGGCGGGAGAAAAGCCUUGCAAAUUUGAAGUUUGCGGUUCAAGGUUUGCAAAAAGAGUGACCAGCUAAAGUGUCGCAGGAGAACACAAAAUUAUGUUAGAAAAGCCUUACAAGUUCAAGUGUAUAAUCUGUGGAGUUGUGCUGAAAUAUUUGGAUUGCCUAAAGACUCACGAAAGAACUGACACUGGAUAAAAGCCUUACAAGUGUGAAGUUUGUGGUUCUGGGUUUACACAAGCUAGCAUGCUAAAGAUUCACCAGAGAAAACACACUGGAGAACAGCCUUACACGUGUGAAAUUCUGAAACGGCAUAGAAAAAUACACACAGGAGAAAAACCUCACAAUAAAUGGGAAAACUGUGGAGUUGGGUUCAUACAAAAGAACAGUCUACAGGCUCACAAAAGAUUACACACUGGAGAAAAGCCUUUCAAGUCUGAAAUUUGUGAUUCACAAUUUGCUAGGAGUGACUAUCUUAAGGCUUACAAAAGAACACACAAUGGAGAAAAGCCUUACAAGUGUGAAGUUUAUGGUGCAACGUUUGCACAGAGUAGCAGCCUAAGAAAGCACCAAAAAAACGCACUCAGGUAAAAAUGCCGCUCUUGAAGUUCAUGGUUCGGGAUUUGCGUGCAGUAGCAACACUGAAACAACACAAGAGAACACAUUCAGGAACAAAACUGCGGGUGGUUGGAGGGUGUCACUGGUAGGGCCUGUGUCUUUAUUUCCCUUUGAUGGUUCUGUGUACAUAUGUAGAAAAAAGAAAAGGGAACGCAUUACUCCCAUGUUUAGAACAUUACAUUGACUUCCUGUGUCAACUAGAAUAUAAUAUGAAAUUACAAUAUUAUGCCACAUGUGUCAGUAACAAGGCUCACUCAUAUCUUAACUAAAUGAUCGCGGGAC